CGGUACGGGUGCGUAACACGUGUGCAACCUGCCUUUAUCUGGGGGAUAGCCUUUCGAAAGGAAGAUUAAUACUCCAUAAUAUAUUGAACGGCAUCGUUUAAUACUGAAAGCUCCGGCGGAUAGAGAUGGGCACGCGCAAGAUUAGCUAGUUGGUGAGGUAACGGCUCACCAAGGCGAUGAUCUUUAGGGGGCCUGAGAGGGUGAUCCCCCACACUGGUACUGAGACACGGACCAG
rnacentral:rRNA from 1 species